rnacentral:rRNA from 1 species
GGGGACCCGCAAGCGGUGGAUGAUGUGGAUUAAUUCGAUGCAACGCGAAAAACCUUACCUACCCUUGACAUGUACGGAAGCCUGGAGAGAUUCGGGUGUGCUCGAAAGAGAGCCGUAACACAGGUGCUGCAUGGCUGUCGUCAGCUCGUGUCGUGAGAUGUUGGGUUAAGUCCCGCAACGAGCGCAACCCUUGUCAUUAGUUGCUACGAAAGGGCACUCUAAUGAGACUGCCGGUGACAAACCGGAGGAAGGUGGGGAUGACGUCAAGUCCUCAUGGCCCUUAUGGGUAGGGCUUCACACGUCAUACAAUGGUACAUACAGAGGGCCGCCAACCCGCGAGGGGGGGCUAAUCCCAGAAAGUGUAUCGUAGUCCGGAUCGCAGUCUGCAACUCGACUGCGUGAAGUUGGAAUCGCUAGUAAUCGCGGAUCAGCAUGUCGCGGUGAAUACGUUCCCGGGUCUUGUACACACC